UCAAAAGAUAGCACUUGUUUCUGUCGAGAAAACUUUGAAGGAACAACAUGCAAUACAUGUUCAGAUGGACGAUACGGUGAAUAUUGUGAUCAAGUAUGUAGUGUCGGUUGUGGUAAAACAAUGGCUUGUGAAAGAAACAACGGCUCCUGUAAAUGUCUUCCUAAUUUUACUGGGGAUAAAUGUGAACAAUGCAUAGGCAGCCUUUACGGACAAUCAUGAGACUUACAUUAUCCGGAUACUUGCAAAGGGGGUACAUGCUCACGAAAUGAUGGGACAUGCACACAUGGUUGUGUUGAUGGAUAUUCGGGUGACAAUUGCACAAACCCGUGUGACAAUAUAUGCGCAACAUGUCUACAAUAUAGCACAUCAUACUGCGUUUCGUGCUUAAAUGGUUACACUGGAACAACAUGCCGAUGUCCUCCUAACUGCAUUUGUGCGGUUGGACUUGAUAUUUGUAUUUCAUGUACAAAUGGUUAUGAAAGUCCUGAACAACAAUGCACGUGUCAAUCGAAAUAUUGUCUCGAGAAUGAAUGUGAUCAAUGUAUUAACCAGACGUUUUACGUUGAUAACAAUGCGUGCUGUUCAUGUCCUGAUCAUUGCAAAGAUGGUGUCUGCAGGAAUGGACCUGAAUGUAUUUCUGGUUGCAUGGACGGCUUUUACGGUUUGAAUUGUUCUCAAAGUUGCUUGUCCCUGAGUGCGGACUGUCUACGAUGUACUCAGACGUAUGGAAAGUGUUUGGAAUGUAAAGACGGUUUUUAUCCAAACGAUUAUGGAAGCUGCAUAAAUUGCAGUAUUAGCUGUAUGGGUGGGCUUUGCAAUUCUGCGAAAGUAAAUGGCUGCAUCAAUGGUCUUGAAGACAAAGAUUGCUCAAACGACGAAUUUACAUUGGUUCUUCAACAAUAAGUGCCCUCUCAGCUUUAUCGGUAGUUUUGGGCAUUUCGCUUAUUUGCACAGCUGCUGGUUGCUAUCUGUGUAACAGACGAAUGUCUAAACCAACAGAACCGGAAGAUCAGCUUGAAACUGAGAUGACCUAUGAACAGCUACAAAGACAGGCAAACGAACCAACAUACACGAAUGCUGACGAAAAUUAUUCCGUGCUUUCAACGUAGAAGUUAAAAACAGUUUUUGCAUGAGAGAAUGAGUAUAACGAGAUUUUGCAUUUUUAUUCUGAACUUUAAGAAACAUUCAGGUUUGGUUUUACACCUGUUGCCAGUAGAUAUAAAUUUGCAGUCGUAGUAUUAAUAUGUAUCGAGAAUUGAUUAUAUUUAAUUUCAGAACAAUAUAUCCAGUGUGUACAUCAUUUAACGUUAUGUAUGUAUAUAUUUUCGUCAUACAUGUAACACUACAUGUUUAGGACGUCCUGUUUUGUGCCCGAAUGCUCUAAACACUCUGUAAAUGUGGUUACCCUUACACUAUAACAUGGUCAUUGAUACGUAUUAGGCUGCUGGGCUUAUCCAGUAAAGUAAAACAUAGUUACCUUUCUGACAAUAUGAAUCUUAUAUUGUAGACCUCCAUCCAAAUACACACUACGACAUAAUCAAUAAACUGGUGACUCUGUCGAUCGUGCAUCCAACAUACGACCACUGUGCUAUGUUUUAGAACUGUCUAACAACAGUGAACUUCUCGGUCUACCGUUCUAUAACCGACCAUAUUUAUGUUAAUAUGGAGUUGCAACUGUUUUGCAAGAUGAUGUAAGUGUAACAGCGUAUAUAUAUGUUUAAUACUUAGAAGGACUUUUGAAACUUGGCGUGUGUCUGGAGUUUCCAUAGUAUUAUUACAACUGUACGUUAUUAAAAAUAUUUAACAAAACAAAAAAACAACAACAACAAAAUACAACUGUAUUGAACAGUUCUGAACUGAAACAAAAUAAGUACAAAAUGUUAGUACUUUCCCCAAUUAUAGUAAUAAUUUCGUUUAAUUUGAACGGAUAUUUUAAAUAUGGUUCAUUUUUAUAUGUUAGAAUAUUACCUGUCAUAUUAUACUACAUUAUACUAUCCCACCAUGGUUUUUAUAAUUGAUUUGUUUCGUAUCAUAUACUAGAUGGUUUAUAAAGUGACAUACUCUUAUGUACCGCUAUAAUGGACAACAUUUGAAGUGUGUUUAUAUAUAAGUUAAAUAAUUAUAACCCUUACCUGGAAAGAUAUUACUAUGCAGUAUAUUUUGGUUGUUGUUUAUUCAUAGUGUAUCAAGUUGUUACAUAUGAGUGUUGAGCCGUUGAUAUACAAUGAUUCUCUGCAGGUUAUUUUACCAGAACAGUUUUCCUAAUCUAAUUUGAUUCAUAUAAGAAUAUUACAAGAAUAUAUAUAAAUAUUUGGUUAUUUCUAAGGCUCCCUAUAGUUGCAUAUUGUAUAGGCUGUCCGAUGUAAAGAUUUACAUAUAUUUGUUAAUAUAAAUAUCAUUAAAUUGUUUUAGCUAUCGUAAAACUAUAUAUCCACAAAAUGAAUUAAGCUAAAACGCACGUUACAAUUAACAUUAUACACUAACAUUGUCAAUUAUUAAAUAAUAAAAAUUUAGAAUUCGAUUGAUAGAUCAAAUUAUAUAAUAUCUUCAUUGACCUAAACUAUGUUGUUGCUGUAUAUGCUUAUUCGAUAUUUACUCAUAUGUGAUAGUGAAUUGUUUAAUUUUGAAAUAUAAAUCUAUAUGCACUGAAUCACACCAAACACUGUAUUAUAAUAUAUGUAUUAGUCCACAUGGGCCUGGGCGUGCUAGAAUAUUUUGUAAAUACACAUAUGUAUCACUUCAGUACUGAUAAUAGUAUUAGCUUUUUGUUUGUUAUAAUUUCAAAUGACGUCUGCAACAUUUUGAACAAAUUCAUCUCACAAAUGUAUGUUAACAUGAUGUGUACUAACUAUAUUCAUGUAUUGACUUCAGUGGAUUGGUAUAAGCAACAAUUAUUAAGAUGUACACAAACGGUUAAAUGUGUAUCAAUUGUUUGACUUUAUAAAGAAUAAUGCAAAGUUCAAAUUUUGUAGUGUAGAUUUUUCUAAAAGUAGUGUAUGUGUUUGAUCAACUGAUGCAAUAUGAAGGAA